GAGUUUGAUCCUGGCUCAGGGAUGAACGCUAGCUACAGGCUUAACACAUGCAAGUCGAGGGGCAGCGGGAGAAAGCUUGCUUCUUUGCCGGCGACCGGCGCACGGGUGAGUAACGCGUAUCCAACCUGGCCCACAGUAGGGUAUAGCCCGGCGAAAAGUCGGAUUUAACGCCCUAUGUUCUUCAUGGAUGGCAUCUGAUAUGAAGCAAAGUUUCACGCUAUGGGAUGGGGAUGCGUCUGAUUAGGUAGUAGGCGGGGUAACGGCCCACCUAGCCGACGAUCAGUAGGGGUUCUGAGAGGAAGGUCCCCCACAUUGGUACUGAGACACGGACCAAACUCCUACGGGAGGCAGCAGUGAGGAAUAUUGGUCAAUGGGCGAGAGCCUGAACCAGCCAAGUAGCGUGCAGGACGACUGCCCUAUGGGUUGUAAACUGCUUUUAUAGGGGAAUAAAGUGCGGUACGCGUACCGUUUUGUAUGUACCCUAUGAAUAAGGACCGGCUAAUUCCGUGCC
rnacentral:rRNA from 1 species